rnacentral:rRNA from 1 species
GGAAGUAAAAGUCGUAACAAGGUUUCCGUAGGUGAACCUGCGGAAGGAUCAUUACCGAGUGAGGGCCCUCUGGGUCCAACCUCCCACCCGUGUUUAUUUUACCUUGUUGCUUCGGCGGGCCCGCCUUAACUGGCCGCCGGGGGGCUCACGCCCCCGGGCCCGCGCCCGCCGAAGACACCCUCGAACUCUGUCUGAAGAUUGAAGUCUGAGUGAAAAUAUAAAUUAUUUAAAACUUUCAACAACGGAUCUCUUGGUUCCGGCAUCGAUGAAGAACGCAGCGAAAUGCGAUACGUAAUGUGAAUUGCAAAUUCAGUGAAUCAUCGAGUCUUUGAACGCACAUUGCGCCCCCUGGUAUUCCGGGGGGCAUGCCUGUCCGAGCGUCAUUGCUGCCCUCAAGCCCGGCUUGUGUGUUGGGCCCCGUCCUCCGAUUUCCGGGGGACGGGCCCGAAAGGCAGCGGCGGCACCGCGUCCGGUCCUCGAGCGUAUGGGGCUUUGUCACCCGCUCUGUAGGCCCGGCCGGCGCUUGCCGAUCAACCCAAAUUUUUAUCCAGGUUGACCUCGGAUCAGGUAGGGAUACCCGCUGAACUUAAGCAUAUA